AGAAUCAACGCUGGCGGCGUGCCUCAGACAUGCAAGUCGAACGAGAAAGUCCCCUUCGGGGGAUAAGUAAAGUGGCGCACGGGUGAGUAACACGUAGGUAAUCUACCUUCGGGUGGGGAAUAACCCAGGGAAACUUGGGCUAACACCGCAUAAUGCAGCGGCACCACAUGGUGACAGUUGUUAAAGCGGGGGAUUUUCGGACCUCGCGCCUGAAGAGGAGCCUGCGGCGGAUUAGCUAGUUGGCAAGGUACGCUUACCAGGCAACGAUCCGUA
rnacentral:rRNA from 1 species